CUUUGCCCUAACAUACUGCCCCCUCCACCAGGAAGCCUCACUGCCUGAAAAUCCACAUUCAUUGAAGAGCCUUGCUAACAUAACAAGGCUGCCAGAAUAGGAGAAAAAUUCAUGUCCUUCCUGCCUCUUAGGCUCUAGUAAAUGGAAGUUGAAGAGGUGCUAUUCAUCUGUCAUUGAAGGAUGUUGUUUUUAACACCCAAACGGAGCAUAGGACAAGCUUCAACUGGAUGCACAGUUAAAAAUGAGACUGAAGACCAAAGUAAAUAUUUGCAUAGCAGGAUCUUGGAGUGGCGGAGAAGAGAGAAGGAAGAGAGGAGUUCUGAUGGGCCUGGCUUCAGGCCUCAGCUCUGCUUCUGAGUGGCUGCACUUGCUUGGAGCAAGUCUCCUUUAGUCUGACUCUUCUGCGAUUAGUGAGAAUCUGGCAGAGUGCAGGGGAGUAAAACCAAGCUAGACUUGAAAUGGAAUGAACAAUAUGAAGAAUCUAUCCUGAGUGCAUCUGCAUUAACUUAACUAGAAAACCUCAAAGAGUCCUGUGGCCCAAGUCUGCUGCAGCGGUCAAAGAACAGUGCAGCAAAGAAGAUCCCUAGGAGGGAAUGAAAUUAAUGUUGAUGACCACGGACUAUUUUCCAGGCCAGGAUUAUCUCAGGAUUUCAUGAAGAGGAGAAAUGGAGGUCAUUUCCUAGAGAUUAAUGGAUAAUUUGAUUGUGAGAAGAAAAUUGUUUAAGGAGCAGGGGUGGGUAUGGAGGCAAAUGUCACACACUCCAGAAGGUAAAGUGACCUGGCUCUUCCCCUCUCACUCCUUGGAAAGAAGGAAAGCUCAUCAGAGCCAGGACCCUGGAAAAGUGAUGUGAUGAAGAGAAGGAGGCCCUGAAUACCACCAUCUGAAGGCAUUUCCAAGGAAGCCAGGGAUGUGACUCUGUCUCGGUUGCAGAGAUCAAAAGGUUUUGUGAAGGAAGCAAUGGCUCUCUAGCCCCCUUCUGGGUGGAUUCUGGGGUAGAAGGAUCCGGUUCCUUUGAUAACUGGUUAGUUAUAGCUAUAGGGUGAAGCCAAUUGAGUAACAUUGGUCUGGGCUUCCAGAGACACAAGGUCUUCUUGAACCAUAAGCUCUCAGAACAAUGCCCCACCUAGGCAGAGCAGAGAACCCUGAACCUUUUGCCUGGAGAGAACAAAGAAGCGCACAGCUCAGGAGCCACCAGACCUGGGACUACCCAUUGGACCCCUAAUCUCCACUGUUCUUGGCCUGUCUCUCUUUCCCAUUAGAUUGUGAGCUCUUUGAGAACAGAGACUACCUCUUCUCCAUCCUUGUUUCCCUAGCCUAGUACACCAUCAAAUAAUGCUGUGGAAAGAAAAAGUAAAGGAAUAAAUAAAUAACCCUUAGAUAAGUGGGUCAUCCACCAAUCCUCAAUUCCUGAUUAGUAAAAUGAGAAUAACAAUAGCUACUAACAAGAGUAUUGUGUAGACUGUAUGACUUAAUGAAUGUGAAAGCACCCGUAUGGAG
rnacentral:lncRNA from 1 species